rnacentral:rRNA from 1 species
UUGGAUUCAACGCCGGAAAUCUUACCGGGACCGACAGCAAUAUGAAGGCCAGGCUGAAGACUUUGCCGGAUUAGCUGAGAGGUGGUGCAUGGCCGUCGUCAGUUCGUACUGUGAAGCAUCCUGUUAAGUCAGGCAACGAGCGAGACCCACGCCCACAGUUGCCAGCGUACUCUCUGGAGUGACGGGUACACUGUGGGACCGCCGCUGCUAAAGCGGAGGAAGGAAUGGGCAACGGUAGGUCAGUAUGCCCCGAAUAUCCCGGGCUACACGCGAGCUACAAUGGUUGGUACAAUGGGUAUCUACCCGAAAGGGACGGGAAUCUCCUAAAACCAAUCUUAGUUCGGAUUGAGGGCUGCAACUCGCCCUCAUGAAGCUGGAAUCCGUAGUAAUCGCGUUUCAACAGAACGCGGUGAAUACGUCCCUGCUCCUU